AUUGAACGCUGGCGGCAGGCUUAACACAUGCAAGUCGAACGAGUGGCGGACGGGUGAGUAAUGCUUGGGAAUCUAGCUUAUGGAGGGGGAUAACUACGGGAAACUGUAGCUACUACCGCGUACCAUAGGAUGAGCCCACGUGGGAUUAGGUAGUUGGUGAGGUAAAGGCUCACCAAGCCGACGCUCUCUAGCUGGUCUGAGAGGAUGACCAGCCACACGGGGAAUGAGACACGGCCCAGACGCCUACGGGAGGCAGCAGUGGGGAAUAUUGCGCAAUGGGGGCAACCUGACGCAGCCAUGCCGCGGGAGUGAUGACGGCCUUCGGGUUGUAAAGCUCUGUUAAUCGGGAGACGGUACCGGAAUAGAAAGCCACGGCUAACUACGUGCCAGCAGCCGCGGUAAUUC
rnacentral:rRNA from 1 species